rnacentral:rRNA from 1 species
UACGUAGGGUGCAGGCGUUAAUCGGAAUUACUGGGCGUAAAGCGUGCGCAGGCGGCUCCUUAAGUCAGAUGUGAAAUCCCCGGGCUUAACCUGGGAACCGCGUUUGAAACUGGGGGGCUUGAGUGUGGAAGAGGGGGGUGGAAUUCCAGGUGUAGCAGUGAAAUGCGUAGAGAUCUGGAGGAACACCGAUGGCGAAGGCAGCCCCCUGGGCUAACACUGACGCUCAUGCACGAAAGCGUGGGGAGCAAACAGG